GACGAACGCUGGCGGCGUGCUUAACACAUGCAAGUCGAACGGAAAGGCCCUGCUUUUGUGGGGUGCUCGAGUGGCGAACGGGUGAGUAACACGUGAGUAACCUGCCCUUGACUUUGGGAUAACUUCAGGAAACUGGGGCUAAUACCGGAUAGGAGCUCCUGCUGCAUGGUGGGGGGUGGAAAGUUUCGGCGGUUGGGGAUGGACUCGCGGCUUAUCAGCUUGUUGGUGGGGUAGUGGCUUACCAAGGCUUUGACGGGUAGCCGGCCUGAGAGGGUGACCGGCCACAUUGGGACUGAGAUACGGCCCAGACUCCUACGGGAGGCAGCAGUGGGGAAUAUUGCACAAUGGGCGGAAGCCUGAUGCAGACACGCCGCGUGCGGGAUGACGGCCUUCGGGUUGUAAACCGCUUUCGACUGUGACGAAGCGUGAGUGACGGUAAUGGGUAAAGAAGCACCGGCUAACUACGUG
rnacentral:rRNA from 1 species